rnacentral:lncRNA from 10 species
AGAGAAUCUAACUCUGAGAGAAAAGAGAAGGUCUUGGCAAAGCAAGGGGUGGGGGCCUUCCCAAGUUUCCAGAGUAUUCGUAGACUGACUAAGACAUGAAUAAGUAAAUAUACCAAAG